rnacentral:misc_RNA from 1 species
CACACAGCAAUUAAGAGUGGGCAUGGUCGGCUUUGGCUUCAGACGAGACCAGAAGUUAGUAGCGAGCGGACGACGCCAAGAAUUGUGGUUUACCGUUCGGUUCUCCCUCCUCCCUCUUCCCUUCCUGUGUGUGUCUUCUGGCGAUUUUCUCGCGUCUGCUCCGCCCACCACCCACCAUCCCUUCGUCCCUCCUCCCUUGUUUUUCCCCGAUUGUGAAAAACUGCAAAAAAAAAAAAAAAUUUUGAUCUUCUAAUCUUUCUCUCUCUCUCAAGCACUGGGUUUUCUACAGAUCACAUGAAACAGAAACCAAAAAGCUGAUCCCUCUCAUCAUUAAAUGAAUUAAAGUUAUAGGACAUUGGAGGGUGGUGGGGUGAGAUGAGAUCUGAUCCGCCUGAGUCACUGUUUGUCUCUGCCAUUUCACCAAGAUCUCGUUUUCAGUGCAUUGAUACAUUUCUUAUAUCAAUCACCUUCCUUUCCCUAAUCCCGAGACGAUAAGCCCUCUCAGUUUGCUCUCUUACUCUCUGUUUUGUCACGUCUAGCUGAUAGGGGGAUCCGUGGCCAUUUGUUGUUUUCUGGAUCUAUCAGUGAUUCGUCGACAUUUUAUUUGAAUUCAAUCGAGGUUUUUCAAGUUUUCUCCUUUCUUCGCCAUUUUACCUAUCCUGUGGGCCUCUGUAGUUAAAGGAGUAUUUUCCGUCCGUUUCCUCGUCUUGUUUAAAGCCCUUCCUGCAAUUGACAAUCAUUAUCUUGUUGUAGAAGGCCUACAUUUUGUUUUCUUGCGAAGAAACACUCAGCACCCC